rnacentral:rRNA from 1 species
GACGAACGCUGGCGGCGUGCCUAAUGCAUGCAAGUCGAGCGAAUCAAUAGGAGCUUGCUCCUGUUGGUUAGCGGCGGACGGGUGAGUAACACGUGGGCAACCUGCCUGUAAGACUGGGAUAACAUCGGGAAACCGAUGCUAAUACCGGAUAAUUCAUUCCCUCUCAUGAGGGAAUGUUGAAAGUCGGUUUCGGCUGACACUUACAGAUGGGCCCGCGGCGCAUUAGCUAGUUGGUGAGGUAACGGCUCACCAAGGCGACGAUGCGUAGCCGACCUGAGAGGGUGAUCGGCCACACUGGGACUGAGACACGGCCCAGACUCCUACGGGAGGCAGCAGUAGGGAAUCUUCCACAAUGGACGAAAGUCUGAUGGAGCAACGCCGCGUGAGCGAUGAAGGCCUUCGGGUCGUAAAGCUCUGUUGUUAGGGAAGAACAUGUACCGGAGUAACUGCCGGUACCUUGACGGUACCUAACCAGAAAGCCACGGCUAACUACGUGCCAGCCGCCGCUGUAA